GGCCACCACCAGGAGUGGAGCCCGCUGCUUAAUUCGACUCAACAAACUAAAACUCACCCGGACCGGAGACUAGUAGGAUUGACAGACUGACUAGCUCUUUCUGGAUUGACUGGGUGGUGGUGCAUGGCCGUUCUUCCCAGGAACAGCUAUUUGUCUGGUUAAUUCCGAACAUCAACGAUUCCCCAGGCACAUAGUUCGCCUGCCCCGAAAUAUCGCGCCUGGAAAGGAAGGAAUACCGAGCUGCCCACAAAAAGCUGGAGACUCGAGACUGGCUUAUGAUGCCUCCCUUGCCAAAUUGCAAAACCCGAACCACGAGGAUUUCCCGCUUGAGGAAUCAUUACGAUCGCAAACCGGCUCAUACGAGAAAAGUAAACCCUUUGUGAACCUGGGAUGGAUCAAGGUGAACUUUGUAACAACCUGCUCGACUAGUCCCUUUCCGAGGGUUAAUGCUGAGUUUGUUACGCCAAUUACAUACCUGCCCUUUGUGUGACCUGCUGUCGCUACUCAAUAUCGCAUGAC
rnacentral:rRNA from 1 species